rnacentral:rRNA from 1 species
GAUGAACGCUGGCGGCGUGCCUAAUACAUGCAAGUCGGACGGAGCGCUUCGGCGCUCAGUGGCGAACGGGUGAGUAGCACAUGGGCAACCUGCCCUUCAGACGGGGACAACAUUCCGAAAGGGAUGCUAAUACCGGAUACGAAGCUUCUGCCGCAUGACGGAAGCUUGAAAGGUGCCCUCAAGCACCGCUGAAGGAUGGGCCUGCGUCCGAUUAGCUGGUUGGUGGGGUAACGGCUCACCAAGGCGACGAUCGGUAGCCGGUCUGAGAGGAUGAACGGCCACAUUGGGACUGAGACACGGCCCAG